AAGAUUUUAAGUUAAGUAAAAACUAUAAGCCUUCAAAGCUUAUUACAUAAACUUGAAAUUUAUAAAUCUUA
rnacentral:tRNA from 1 species